CCUACGGGUGGCAGCAGUGGGGAAUAUUGCACAAUGGGGGAAACCCUGAUGCAGCGACGCCGCGUGAGUGAAGAAGUAUUUCGGUAUGUAAAGCUCUAUCAGCAGGGAAGAUAAUGACGGUACCUGACUAAGAAGCCCCGGCUAACUACGUGCCAGCAGCCGCGGUAAUACGUAGGGGGCAAGCGUUAUCCGGAUUUACUGGGUGUAAAGGGUGCGUAGGUGGCAGGGCAAGUCAGAUGUGAAAGCCCGGGGCUCAACCCCGGUACUGCAUUUGAAACUGUCCAGCUGGAGUGCAGGAGAGGUAAGCGGAAUUCCUAGUGUAGCGGUGAAAUGCGUAGAUAUUAGGAGGAACAUCAGUGGCGAAGGCGACUAUCUGGCACAUAACUGACGCUGAGGAGCGAAAGCGUGGGUAGCAAACAGGAUUAGAUACCCCUGUAGUC
rnacentral:rRNA from 1 species